CGCUGCAAACCAUACCUUCUACUUAGAUGUUCCUAAGGAUAAAAGGGUCAGAUAAAUAUCAUGGGGAGGAUACUACUACACACAGAUGUUUCUCUUCGGUGGGAAGACACCUUCUACGAACAGAGCACAUGGGCUCUGACUGAAUGGACUUGGUACAACAAAUUAUAUUGCAGACUAUCUGACUUAGGUGGAAACCAACCUGGGCAAAAGAACAGCAAAGAUCCACCUGCUCUGCACAGUACCAGCUCUACAGAGACUUCUAAGAUUCUGAGGAAUGAUAUCCUGCCCUCCCCUAAGGUUUUGUUGAUUCCCAAGAAUUGAACCCCAUCUUCUUAUCACACCUCUCCCCUUCAUCUCUUCAGGCCCUGAUCACUAGGAAAA